rnacentral:rRNA from 1 species
CAAUAGCGUAUAUUUAAGUUGUUGCAGUUAAAAAGCUCGUAGUUGGAUUUCGGUUAAGAGCGACCGGUCCGCCGUUUGGUGUGCACUGGUUGGUUUUAACUUCCUGUAGAGGACGUGCUCUGGGUUUAACGACCUGGACUCGGAGUCUACGUGGUUACUUUGAAAAAAUUAGAGUGUUCAAAGCGGGCUUACGCUUGAAUAUUUCAGCAUGGAAUAACACUAUAGGACUCCUGUCCUAUUUCGUUGGUCUCGGGACGGGAGUAAUGAUUAAGAGGAACAGUUGGGGGCAUUCGUAUUUCAUUGUCAGAGGUGAAAUUCUUGGAUUUAUGAAAGACGAACUUCUGCGAGAGCAUUUGCCAAGGAUGUUUUCAUUAA